UACGGGGGGAGCAAGCGUUGUCCGGAUUUACUGGGCGUAAAGGGCGCGUAGGCGGUCACCCCAAGUCGGUUGUGAAAUCUCUGGGCUUAACCCAGAAAGGUCAACCGAUACUGCGGGGCUAGAGUGCAGAAGGGGCAACUGGAAUUCUCGGUGUAGCGGUGAAAUGCGUAGAUAUCGAGAGGGACACCUGCGGCGAAGGCGGGUUGCUGGGCUGACACUGACGCUGAAGCGCGAAAGCUAGGGGAGCGAACGGG
rnacentral:rRNA from 1 species